GAUGAACGCUGGCGGCGUGCCUAAUACAUGCAAGUCGAGCGAACAGACGAGGAGCUUGCUCCUUUGACGUUAGCGGCGGACGGGUGAGUAACACGUAGGUAACCUACCUAUAAGACUGGGAUAACUUCGGGAAACCGGAGCUAAUACCGGAUAAUAUUUCGAACCGCAUGGUUCGAUAGUGAAAGAUGGAUUUGCUAUCACUUAUAGAUGGACCUGCGCCGUAUUAGCUAGUUGGUAAGGUAACGGCUUACCAAGGCAACGAUCCGUAGCCGACCUGAGAGGGUGAUCGGCCACACUGGAACUGAGACACGGUCCAGACUCCUACGGGAGGCAGCAUUAGGGAAUCUUCCGCAAUGGGCGAAAGCCUGACGGAGCAACGCCGCGUGAGUGAUGAAGGUCUUCGGAUCGUAAAACUCUGUUAUUAGGGAAGAACAAACGUGUAAGUAACUGUGCACGUCUUGACGGUACCUAAUCAGAAAGCCACGGCUAACUACGUG
rnacentral:rRNA from 1 species